CGUUCCUGCCAGAGGGCUUCUACCCAGUGAGAUCAGGUGUCCCAGGAGACACACCUGGACCUCAUCUCCUCAUCAAGGAGUGGGGACAAAAAAGGACAAGCAGAGGAGACGUGUUGGGAGAGCAGCAGUAUCGCCAUGGAGCCGCAGCUGGCUGUAAAUGGACGCAGGAUGUCUUUGUUGAGUUGACGGGCGGGAAGGAGAGGUCGCUGUCUGUCAGCCGCCGGCUUUGUCUUGGGUCGGUCCGAGCGCCGGCCCGGGGACGGCCUCCGAUUGUGGGUCGCUUUUGCUCUUGGUUUUUAAAACUCUGUCAAUUACAGGGAGACGUGACUUUAUGUCUCCAUAUGGUGCGCGUUGUGUCCGGCAGCGGGGACGCAGAUUAGCAUUGGUAUGCUAACGUCGUUGAGCCCGGGCGAGGGUGGUAUUUGUAAUUGUGUGAGGGAUCAGAGUACUUUUUCCAUGACACUGGCAUGUAUGAAACAGAUGAUUUACUUCUCUUGUCCAGUUCCUAUUCUCUUUAUUUCAAACACGGCGUCUCUCAGAGACACACACACACACUUUAGUAUCUGGACACUCAUUGACGUAAGGAUCCUUGUGGCCACUUACCCAAAUCUUCACGGCGAGCUACCCGACCCUAAACCCUCACCGGAACCUUAAUCUGGACCUAAUUCUGACCUGAAACCUAAAACAGUCCUUUGAAGACGGACUAAAUGCCCUCACAAAGACAGCCGUGCUGGUACACAAACGCACACACUCUUGGAUAUAAGUUACUAAUAACCACAGAUCAACAGAAAAACGUUACUGCAGAUAUAAUUACUACUAACCUUUAAGGUGCUUCUUCAUAAUUUUUUUUGGAGCCAAAUAUUGUACAUUAUAAUCUGUUACACUUAUUGAAAUACUUCAAAUAACUUUUUUACUAGUUUCAAAAUGGAACCAAAAAGAUGUAAUAUUUUAGAUGAAGCUCAAACUUCACUGAAAUUCACACGAUUUUC
ensembl:lncRNA